GACGAACCGUGCGAACGUUGUUCGGAAUCACUGGGCUUAAAGGGCGCGUAGGCGGGCGGUCAAGUCGGAGGUGAAAGCCUGCAGCUCAACUGCAGAAGUGCCCCGAUACUGAUGGCCUCGAGGGAGGUAGGGCGUGCGGAACUUCCGGUGGAGCGGUGAAAUGCGUAGAUAUCGGAAGGAACACCGGUGGCGAAAGCGGCGCGCUGGACCUCUUCUGACGCUGAGGCGCGAAAGCCAGGGAG
rnacentral:rRNA from 1 species